GUGAAAGCCCCCGGGCUUAACCUGGGAACUGCAUUUGAAACUGGUCAACUAGAGUAUGGUAGAGGAAAGUGGAAUUUCUGGUGUAGCGGUGAAAUGCGUAGAUAUCAGAAGGAACAUCGAUGGCGAAGGCAGCUUUCUGGACCAAUACUGACGCUGAGGUACGAAAGCGUGGGUAGCAAACAGGAUUAGAUACCCUGGUAGUCCACGCCGUAAACGAUGAUAACUAGCCGUUGGGAGGGUUUACCUCUUAGUGGCGAAGCUAACGCGUUAAGUUAUCCGCCUGGGGAGUACGGCCGCAAGGCUAAAACUCAAAGGAAUUGACGGGGACCCGCACAAGCGGUGGAGCAUGUGGUUUAAUUCGAUGCAACGCGAAGAACCUUACCUGGUCUUGACAUACAGAGAACUUUCCAGAGAUGGAUUGGUGCCUUCGGGAACUCUGAUACAGGUGCUGCAUGGCUGUCGUCAGCUCGUGUCGUGAGAUGUUGGGUUAAGUCCCGUAACGAGCGCAACCCUUAUCCUUAUUUGCCAGCACUUCGGGUGGGAACUAUAAGGAGACUGCCGGUGAUAAACCGGAGGAAGGCGGGGACGACGUCAAGUCAUCAUGGCCCUUACGACCAGGGCUACACACGUGCUACAAUGGGAAGGACAAAGGGUCGCUAAGCCGCGAGGUGGUGCUAAUCUCAUAAACCUUUUCGUAGUCCGGAUCGGAGUCUGCAACUCGACUCCGUGAAGUCGGAAUCGCUAGUAAUCGUGGAUCAGAACGCCACGGUGAAUACGUUCCCGGGUCUUGUACACACCGCCCGUCAUAC
rnacentral:rRNA from 1 species